rnacentral:rRNA from 1 species
AUUGAACGCUGGCGGAAUGCUUUACACAUGCAAGUCGAACGGUAGAGGGGGCAACCCCUCGAGAGUGGCGAACGGGUGAGUAAUAUAUCGGAACGUGCCCAGUCGUGGGGGAUAACGUAGCGAAAGUUACGCUAAUACCGCAUACGAUCUAAGGAUGAAAGCGGGGGAUCGCAAGACCUCGCGCGAUUGGAGCGGCCGAUAUCAGAUUAGGUAGUUGGUGGGGUAAAGGCUCACCAAGCCAACGAUCUGUAGCUGGUCUGAGAGGACGGCCAGCCACACUGGAACUGAGACACGGUCCAGACGCCUACGGGAGGCAGCAGUGGGGAAUUUUGGACAAUGGACGCAAGUCUGAUCCAGCCAUUCCGCGUGCAGGAUGAAGGCCCUCGGGUUGUAAACUGCUUUUGUACGGAACGAAAAGGUCUCUCUUAAUACGGGGGACUCAUGACGGUACCGUAAGAAUAAGCACCGGCUAACUACGUGCCAGCAGCCGCCGUAA